AGAGUUUGACUCCUGGCUCAGGACAACGCUGGCGGCGUGCCUAACACAUGCAAGUCGAGCGGAGACAUUUGGAAAGCUUGCUUUUUGGAUGUUUCAGCGGCGGACGGGUGAGUAACGCGUGAGCAACCUGCCUUUAACAGGGGGAUAACGCAUCGAAAGAUGUGCUAAUACCGCAUGAGACCACAACGCUACAUGGCGAAGGGGUCAAAGGAGCAAUCCGGUUAAAGAUGGGCUCGCGUCCGAUUAGCUAGUUGGUGAGAUAACAGCCCACCAAGGCGACGAUCAGUAGCCGACCUGAGAGGGUGACCGGCCACAUUGGGACUGAGACACGGCCCAAACUCC
rnacentral:rRNA from 1 species